GCUCGGUUUCCUGAGAUACGGCCUGUGGAUUACACUUGGCCCCCAAAUCCCCUGCAGUGUGUCUAAACUGAAGCCCCAGCAGUUGGAACCAGUAAUGAGCUAUACCCGUUAUAGACAGCUAUGGCCAAUGAAACCUGUCAUUUUGGAGCAAAAUCUGUAGAAGCCAUUGUUUUCCACCAACUUACCCUUUCCUGUGCCACAAGGCCAGAGCAUGGUGGUCAGAGGCUGCCACCAACUCAAACCACUGCCUAAGAGCAUCACUGAGCGUCUCGGGGAGCGCGUUCACAUCGCGAAGGAUGAUGUAGAAUGGGAA